rnacentral:rRNA from 1 species
GACGAACGCUGGCGGCGUGCUUAACACAUGCAAGUCGAACGGAAAGGCCCUGCUUUUGUGGCGCGCUCGAGUGGCGAACGGGUGAGUAACACGUGAGUAACCUGCCCCUGACUUUGGGAUAACUUCAGGAAACUGGGGCUAAUACCGGAUAGGAGCUCCUGCUGCAUGGUGGGGGAUGGAAAGUUUCGGCGGUGGGGGAUGGACUCGCGGCUUAUCAGCUUGUUGGUGGGGUAGUGGCUUACCAAGGCUUUGACGGGUAGCCGGCCUGAGAGGGUGACCGGCCACAUUGGGACUGAGAUACGGCCCAGACUCCUACGGGAGGCAGCAGUGGGGAAUAUUGGACAAUGGGCGGAAGCCUGAUGCAGCAACGCCGCGUGCGGGAUGACGGCCUUCGGGUUGUAAACCGCUUUCGCCUGUGACGAAGCGUGAGUGACGGUAAUGGGUAAAGAAGCACCGGCUAACUACGUG